ACUCCCGCGCGCGCAUCCGUGCGCCGCCCGAGGCUGGCCUGAGGAGUCGGCGGCCAUCUUGUUCUUCUCGUGGUUCCCAGUGGCGAGAGGAGGAGGAAGCCCGGAGCGGAGCGGGGCGGCUGGGGGGGGUGGACCCGCCGCGGCUGCUGCUGCCACCGCCGCCGCCGCCACCACCGCUCGUGGGGCUCGUGGCGUGAGGAAGGAGGACGAGUGAGACCCCGGGGCGAGCGGGCGGCGGCGCCGCUGCUGCUGCUGCUGCUGCGGGAGGGUCGGCGGCGGGACGGCGAUGGCGGAUAUCGACAAACUCAACAUCGACAGCAUCAUCCAACGGCUGCUGGAAGUGAGAGGGUCCAAGCCAGGCAAGAAUGUCCAGCUCCAGGAGAACGAGAUCCGAGGACUCUGCCUGAAGUCUCGGGAGAUCUUCCUCAGUCAGCCUAUCCUUUUAGAACUUGAAGCACCACUCAAGAUAUGUGGUGACAUCCACGGGCAGUACUAUGAUUUGCUCCGUCUGUUUGAAUACGGUGGCUUUCCUCCAGAGAGCAACUAUUUGUUUCUCGGGGACUAUGUGGACAGGGGCAAGCAGUCCCUGGAGACAAUCUGCCUCUUGCUGGCCUACAAAAUCAAGUAUCCGGAGAACUUCUUUCUUCUCAGAGGGAACCACGAGUGCGCCAGCAUCAAUAGGAUCUACGGAUUUUAUGAUGAGUGUAAAAGAAGAUACAACAUUAAGCUGUGGAAAACGUUCACAGACUGUUUUAACUGCUUGCCGAUAGCAGCCAUCGUGGACGAGAAGAUAUUCUGCUGUCAUGGAGGUUUAUCACCAGAUCUUCAAUCUAUGGAGCAGAUUCGGCGAAUUAUGAGACCAACUGAUGUACCAGAUCAAGGUCUUCUUUGUGAUCUUUUGUGGUCUGACCCCGAUAAAGAUGUCUUAGGCUGGGGUGAAAAUGACAGAGGAGUGUCCUUCACAUUUGGUGCAGAAGUGGUUGCAAAAUUUCUCCAUAAGCAUGAUUUGGAUCUUAUAUGUAGAGCCCAUCAGGUACUGACUUUGACUUUACAUGUACACUUAGAGCAUGGGUGUGAGCCGAGGCUCCUUGUUGAUUUUGGUGGGUAGGUAUGGCUUGCCACACAGUGUGCCUCCGGGGCGAGCGGCAGCAGGCCGAGCUCAGUGGGGAAGGAGAGGGGCAGCUCGUGCCCCAGCUGCUCACACUGACACGGUCUCUCCACAGGUGGUUGAAGAUGGCUAUGAGUUUUUUGCAAAGAGGCAGUUAGUCACUCUGUUUUCUGCACCCAACUACUGUGGCGAGUUUGACAAUGCAGGCGCCAUGAUGAGUGUGGAUGAGACCCUCAUGUGUUCCUUCCAGAUUUUAAAGCCUGCAGAGAAAAAGAAGCCCAACGCCACGAGACCUGUCACACCACCACGGGGUAUGAUCACAAAGCAAGCAAAGAAAUAGAUGUCACUUGACACUGCCUGGUUGGGACUUGUAACAUAGCGUUCAUAACCUUCCUUUUUAAACUGUGAUGUGCUGGUCAGCUUGCCCAGGUAGACCUGUCUGUCGGGCCCUCCUCCAUUUGAUUACUGCUGGCACUUGCUGGUUAUAGCAGCAAGCCAAGCACUUCAUUCUCAAGAGAGCAUUUUGUUUUGAACCUCUGUUCCCUUUGUGGACAGCUCUGAUGAUGGUGUUAAGCUGUACACCCUGGCAGGUUAUCCUGUCUGAGGAGAAAGUGUACAAUUGAUCUUUUUUUAAUUUAGUAUAAGUCAUGAAUAAUGUAAAUGCCUGUUUUCUUUAGGAUAUAAAGAGAGCCUUAGAGUGCGUGAGUCUCUACAUGUAAUUGUCAUAAAUGCAUUCUGUUGAUACAAACCACUGUGAACAAUUUUUUUUCCAGUUUGUUUGAAAGGGACUGCUUUCCCUCAUUGUCUUGUCAUGUACAAACUAGUGUCUGCAGCUGUGGCAGCAGGAGUGACCUGCCUGCCGCCAGCCCUGCCCAGACUAUCUGAAGCACACUCCUUCCCACUGCACAUUUAAUAAUGAUUAAAGCCAUUCUUUUCAAUGUCUGUGAUUCCUUCCUAAAGCCAAAGUUUCUGUUGGACUGUAUGGCACGCCCUGGGGAUGAGGUGGCCAGGGCAUCGAGGCUGCGUGCACAGGCCGCCUCCCUCCGUGGGGCCUCAGAAGCAGGUUAUUUUAACUAGCAAUAGUGGUAUAGUGCUGAGUAAGCUAUUAAUGAUGGAAGUUAAUGACACUUUGUACAGUUCCCAUAUAGUCUAUUCACUGAGUGAUCUUUUUACAGUUGGAUCAGGCCUGAACCCGUCCAUUCAGAAAGCUUCAAAUUAUAGAAACAACACUGUCCUAUACGAGUGACCGAUAAUGCUUUCUUUGGCUACAUUCUUUAUUCUGCGGUGACAUUGAGGCUUAUAAAUCAAAAGGAACUAACUUGCCGUCCACCGGUUUAUACAGAACUCACAGUAUCUAUGACUUUUUUAAACUACGACCUGUUAAAUGAAUCUGUUUGCACAGAUGCCCGUGUACAAUGCCAUGUGCUGAGAAUGGUUUCAGACUUAUUAAAUGCAAGCUUGUUAACUUG